UGCUGGUACCGCGACCUACUGGAGAGCGGGUGAGGGCUGCUGCUGACUACUGCCUAUGUACUAGAGGCGACAACAUCCCCGAAAGGUAAUUGCUAAUACCGCGUACGCCCUACGGGGGCAAAGCAGGGGAUCUUCGGACCUUGCAGCUAAUAGAUGAGCCUAAGUCAGAUUAGCUAGUUGGUGGGGUAAAGGCCUACCAAGGCGACGAUCUGUAGCGGGUCUGAGAGGAUGAUCCGCCACACUGGGACUGAGACACGGCCCAGACUCCUACGGGAGGCAGCAGUGGGGAAUAUUGGACAAUGGGCGAAAGCCUGAUCCAGCCAUGCCGCGUGUGUGAAGAAGGCCUUUUGGUUGUAAAGCACUUUAAGCGAGGAGGAGGCUACUGAGAUUAAUACUCUUGGAUAGUGGACGUUCUCGCAGAAUAAGCACCGGCUAACUCUGUGCCAGCAGCCGCGGUAAUACAGAGGGUGCGAGCGUUAAUCGGAUUUACUGGGCGUAAA
rnacentral:rRNA from 1 species